rnacentral:rRNA from 1 species
GAUGAACGCUGGCGGCGUGCUUAACACAUGCAAGUCGAACGAAGCAUUUAAGACAGAUUGCUUUGGUUUGAAGUCUUUUAUGACUGAGUGGCGGACGGGUGAGUACCGCGAGGGUAACCUGCCUCAUACAGGGGGAUAGCAGCUGGAAACGGCUGGUAAUACCGCAUAAGCGCACAGUACCACAUGGUACAGUGUGAAAAACUCCGGUGGCAUGGGAUGGACUCGCGUCUGAUUUGCUUGUUGGCGGGGUAACGGCCCACCAAUGCGACGAUCAGUAGCCGAGAUGGGAGGGUGACCGGCCACAUUGGGGCUGCGACACGGCCCAGAAUCCUACGGGAGGGAGCAGUGUGGAAUAUUGCACAAUGGAGGAAGCUCUGAUGCAGCGACGCCGCGUGAGUGAAGAAUUAGUUCGCUAUGUAAUGCUCUAUCAGCAGGGAAGAUAGUGACGGUACCUGACUAAGAAGCACCGGCUAAAUACGUG